rnacentral:rRNA from 1 species
CCUACGGGAGGCAGCAGUGGGGAAUAUUGGACAAUGGGGGGAACCCUGAUCCAGCCAUGCCGCGUGUGUGAAGAAGGCCCUCGGGUUGUAAAGCACUUUCAGUGAGGAAGAACGCCUGGUGGUUAAUACCCAUCAGGAAAGACAUCACCCACAGAAGAAGCACCGGCUAACUCCGUGCCAGCAGCCGCGGUAAUACGGAGGGUGCGAGCGUUAAUCGGAAUUACUGGGCGUAAAGCGCGCGUAGGUGGCUUGAUAAGCCGGUUGUGAAAGCCCCGGGCUCAACCUGGGAACGGCAUCCGGAACUGUCAAGCUAGAGUGCCGGAGAGGAAAGUAGAAUUCCCGGUGUAGCGGUGAAAUGCGUAGAGAUCGGGAGGAAUACCAGUGGCGAAGGCGGCCUUCUGGACUGACACUGACGCUGAGGUGCGAAAGCGUGGGUAGCAAACAGGAUUAGAUACCCCUGUAGUC